UACGAGGGGGGCGAGCGUUGUUCGGAAUUAUUGGGCGUAAAGGGUGCGUAGGCGGUUUGGUAAGUCUUAUGUGAAAUCUACAGGCUCAACUUGUAGUCUGCAUGAGAAACUGCCGGGCUUGAGUAUGGGAGAGGUGAGUGGAAUUCCUGGUGUAGCGGUGAAAUGCGUAGAUAUCAGGAGGAACACCUGUGGCGAAAGCGGCUCACUGGACCAUAACUGACGCUGAUGCACGAAAGCUAGAGGAGCAAACAGG
rnacentral:rRNA from 1 species